UUCAGUCACAUGUGUGGGCAGCAAUGUUGGAAUGGUGCUCUAUCAAGGAAAAAGAUAAUGAUGGGAUGGAUGUCCUUCAAACAGUGAGCUUCUGGUAAUAUUGGACAACUGGAUCCUUCAAAAAAAAAUCCCCAAACCAGGAAAGAAAAUUAAUGCUUUACGAGUAAAUCAUUUACAGUCUGCACUGGCUUCUGAAGUCAGGCUGUGAACUCAUUUGAAUAUAAUUGCCUGAAUAAUGUAAUUAGUCAGGAUUCAACACUGUCCAAUCACUUAUGUUUAUAUAUUUAAAUUGCUUUCAAGAUGUAAUGUAAUUUAUGUCAAUCAUGUAAUAUGAUUAAUGGCAGAAUUUUUCUGAGGAAUUUGUCAUUUUCUUACCAUAUGUGACCCCGGAGCACAAAACCAGUGUUAGGUCGCUGGGGGAUAUUUGUAGCAAUAGCCAAAGAU